GACACGUGAAAUCCUGUCUGAAUAUGGGGGGACCAUCCUCCAAGGCUAAAUACUCAUCAUCGACCGAUAGUGAACCAGUACCGUGAGGGAAAGGCGAAAAGAACCCCGGGAGGGGAGUGAAAUAGAACCUGAAACCUGAUGCAUACAAACAGUGGGAGCACUCAUGUGGUGUGACUGCGUACCUUUUGUAUAAUGGGUCAACGACUUACAUUCAGUAGCGAGCUUAACCGAAUAGGGGAGGCGUAGGGAAACCGAGUCUUAAUAGGGCGAACAGUUGCUGGGUGUAGACCCGAAACCGAGUGAUCUAUCCAUGGCCAGGUUGAAGGUGCCGUAACAGGUACUGGAGGACCGAACCCACGCAUGUUGCAAAAUGCGGGGAUGAGCUGUGGAUAGGGGUGAAAGGCUAAACAAACUCGGAGAUAGCUGGUUCUCCCCGAAAACUAUUUAGGUAGUGCCUCGAGCAAGACACUGAUGGGGGUAAAGCACUGUUAUGGCUAGGGGGUUAUUGCAACUUACCAACCCAUGGCAAACUCAGAAUACCAUCAAGUUGCUCCUCGGGAGACAGACAUCGGGUGCUAACGUCCGGUGUCAAGAGGGAAACAACCCAGACCGCCAGCUAAGGUCCCAAAUGAUAGAUUAAGUGGUAAACGAAGUGGGAAGGCCCAGACAGCCAGGAUGUUGGCUUAGAAGCAGCCAUCAUUUAAAGAAAGCGUAAUAGCUCACUGGUCGAGUCGUCCUGCGCGGAAGAUGUAACGGGGCUCAAAUCUAUAACCGAAGCUGCGGAUGCUAGUUUACUAGCAUGGUAGGGGAGCGUUCUGUAGGCCGAUGAAGGUGCAUUGUAAAGUGUGCUGGAGGUAUCAGAAGUGCGAAUGUUGACAUGAGUAGCGAUAAAGCGGGUGAAAAGCCCGCUCGCCGAAAGCCCAAGGUUUCCUACGCAACGUUCAUCGGCGUAGGGUGAGUCGGCCCCUAAGGCGAGGCAGAAAUGCGUAGUCGAUGGGAAACAGGUUAAUAUUCCUGUACUUGAUUCAAAUGCGAUGUGGGGACGGAGAAGGUUAGGUUAGCAAGCUGUUGGAAUAGCUUGUUUAAGCCGGUAGGUGGAAGACUUAGGCAAAUCCGGGUCUUCUUAACACCGAGAAGUGACGACGAGUGUUUACGGACAUGAAGUAACUGAUACCACGCUUCCAGGAAAAGCCACUAAGCUUCAGUUUGAAUCGAACCGUACCGCAAACCGACACAGGUGGGCAGGAUGAGAAUUCUAAGGCGCUUGAGAGAACUCGGGAGAAGGAACUCGGCAAAUUGAUACCGUAACUUCGGGAGAAGGUAUGCCCUCUAAGGUUAAGGACUUGCUCCGUAAGCCUCGGAGGGUCGCAGAGAAUAGGUGGCUGCGACUGUUUAUUAAAAACACAGCACUCUGCUAACACGAAAGUGGACGUAUAGGGUGUGACGCCUGCCCGGUGCUGGAAGGUUAAUUGAAGAUGUGAGAGCAUCGGAUCGAAGCCCCAGUAAACGGCGGCCGUAACUAUAACGGUCCUAAGGUAGCGAAAUUCCUUGUCGGGUAAGUUCCGACCCGCACGAAUGGCGUAACGAUGGCCACACUGUCUCCUCCCGAGACUCAGCGAAGUUGAAAUGGUUGUGAAGAUGCAAUCUCCCCGCUGCUAGACGGAAAGACCCCGUGAACCUUUACUGUAGCUUUGCAUUGGACUUUGAAGUCACUUGUGUAGGAUAGGUGGGAGGCUUAGAAGCAGAGACGCCAGUCUCUGUGGAGCCGUCCUUGAAAUACCACCCUGGUGUCUUUGAGGUUCUAACCCAGACCCGUAAUCCGGGUCGGGGACCGUGCAUGGUAGGCAGUUUGACUGGGGCGGUCUCCUCCCAAAGAGUAACGGAGGAGUUCGAAGGUUACCUAGGUCCGGUCGGAAAUCGGACUGAUAGUGCAAUGGCAAAAGGUAGCUUAACUGCGAGACCGACAAGUCGAGCAGGUGCGAAAGCAGGACAUAGUGAUCCGGUGGUUCUGAAUGGAAGGGCCAUCGCUCAACGGAUAAAAGGUA
rnacentral:rRNA from 1 species